UACGUAGGGUGCAAGCGUUAAUCGGAAUUACUGGGCGUAAAGCGUGCGCAGGCGGUUGUGCAAGACAGAGGUGAAAUCCCCGGGCUCAACCUGGGAACUGCCUUUGUGACUGUACGGCUAGAGUGUGUCAGAGGGGGGUAGAAUUCCACGUGUAGCAGUGAAAUGCGUAGAGAUGUGGAGGAAUACCGAUGGCGAAGGCGGCAUCCUGGACCACGACUGACGCUGAGGAGCGAAAGCCAGGGGAGCAAACGGG
rnacentral:rRNA from 1 species